rnacentral:lncRNA from 1 species
UCCUUUAUACUUUUAUUUCCACUUUUGUUUCCAAGACUACCAUCUUUUUACAACUAUAAAGGAAGUGACCACAAAGUCAGAUUUAUUCAAAUAUGCUAGCAAAUGCAAAAAUCAUUGUAUUUAGUCAUCAAAUUAACUACACAUCAAUGUAAAGAAAAUACUCUAAUUCUUCUCUGCAAUGGCCUUUGUCAUAGACCUAUAUCCUCCCCAGGAUCAAUCUCUAGCAGCGAUAGAUUUAGAAAUAAGCGUAGUAUUUAAGACACUUGACUAUUUUAACUAACAAACAUUAUUCUGCAACAAGAGAUCACUAAAUGUUAUCCCGAGGCUUAAGAGAAUAUACAUUCCCACAUACAAGUGAAACAAUUAGACUUUUUAUUAUUAUUUUUUCAGUGACAUAAAAGCCAGCAUCAACCAAUGGCUACAACUGGCUAUUCGGCCAUCGCAUAUACUCAAUGAAUAUAAAUUCCAUAUAUUUAAUCUCCAGGCACAGUAUUUUUGAAUCAACUGUCCCAUGACAGCAUAUCUAUGUGAUUAAAUACACUAGUCAGGACAUAAUGACAUAGGUAUGAAAUCCAUUUUUUAGACAUAUGAAUUAUUACAAUAUACAGCGUUUCCAUUUUGUGAUUUGUAGAUUCUCAGUUUUAAGAGUUUUGGUUGAACAUUUCUGGAAAAAUUAGUUCAGGUCUAAUGUUACUACUCAGAUUUUGAAAGGUUUAUAGAUUAAUGUAAUUGUGAUUUUCAAGUAUGCUUCAAGUUAUAUUUCCAGACAUUUUAGGAUGAGGUACUAUUUUAAAAUUUUAAACUACUGGGUUUUUUUUUUUUCAAUUUUUAUGCAGAAGUUAAUAUUAAAACAAAGAUUUUUCUGGUCAUAUCAAAAAUAAAUUUUUAACUAUAGGUGGCUAAACAUAAAACAGAUCUAACUAUAAUGUAAUCCUCCAUAAUGUUUCGAAAUUUCCUUUUGUUGAUUAACAUUGGUCCAGUUCAUGUCUUAUUACCCAGUUUUGUUGUUCUUGACCUUUUUUACUUUUAAAAACUGUUUUGUAAAUAAUGAUGGUAAAUUGGCUCUCUCCUCCAAGAAAAAGGGAAUAUACAUACAAUUGAGGGAAUUUUUUGGCCACCAUAAAGGUCAGCUCAGGAAUCCAUGCCCUACUUGCAGAUUAUAUACAUGUAAAUCUGCUUAUAAAUGAAUUGAGCUUAAAAGUGAACAUGAAAAGAUUUACAUGUUAUAUUUUUCUACUUAUUUCUUCCCUCCAAAGUUACACAAAACAGCUUUACCAUCAGAUUUUUCACAACUGGAUCAGCACAAAUAAGUCACUUUAAAUGAAAAUGUUCAUGUAUUUUUAAAAUGCAACACCUAAAGAAUUAAACUUCAAAUCUCAAAAUGCUUUUAAGAGCAAUAAAGUAACUAUCCGAAUGGACCAAAAAGAUAUAUGGGCUUUUCAAAAUACAAAAUGAAUUCCUUUCCUUUCUAUAAGUUCCAAAAAGAUAGAACAAACUUUUAGUUAAAUAGAGAUCAGAAGGUACAUGCUUAUCUGUAACUGCCAGCUAAUUUCAAAGCAGGUUUUUAAAUGAUUUUAUUAAAGCAUCUGUCUUUAUAUGUAACCUGAAGGUCAAAAAUAAAGGCAUCACUGAUUUUUCUCACACAUCAGAACCAGUCUGUCAAUCCCAGGUUCUAUAUCCAGGAUCUGAUGAGAUCUCACUCCCAAUAUUGCUAUCAUAUGGCCUAAAUCUGAGCCAUCCUCAGCUCUGUGAAUUAGUACAGUGGCUUCACAUCUGGCCUCCCUGUAUCCUCCCUCUCCCUUUAUAUCCCAUUCCUUUCCCCAUAGUACAGUCAGAGUGGUUCUUUUAAAACACAAAUCUUAUAAAAUUGGAUUGUGAUGAUCAUUGUACAACUAUGAAUGUAAUAAAUUCAUUAAUUAAAAAAAAUCACAAAUCACUCAUCUGCUCCAAACCCUCUGAAGUUUCCUUUUGCAUUCAUAGGUAAAGUCAAACUUCUCCUGCCUUUCUUAGCUCAUCUUCUAAGGUUCUUCUCCAGCGCUAACUCUGUUCUAAUCACUCUAGCCAUUUUGCCUGUCCUUAAAAGCAUGCCAAGCCAGCCCUCGACACAGGCAUUCACAAUUGCUCCUCCCUGUCCCUGGAAUGCUCGUGCCCUAGAUAUCUCUAUACCUACUGCCUUCACUUUCUUCAUUGUCACCACAGAAGAGCCACUUUUCCAAACCACCAAUAUUUAAAAAGCAAAUCUCUACACCCUCUCUGCUUCAUUCGUCUUCACGGCAUUUAUUACCAUCAGACAUGCAAGAUAUUAUUUGGUGAAUACUUUUGUUACUCUCACUAGAUUCCAAGUUACAAGAGGGUAGGGACCUUAUCUGUAUUAUUCACUGAUGUUAUCCCUGGGACCUAUAGGAAUGUAUGGCACAUAGUAGGCAUUCCACAAAUGUGUCAAAUAAGUGAAUACUUGGAUGAAAAUUAAGCAGAUGGCCCAGUACCAUCCCUCCUUGGCCUCUUUCAAGUCCUACUCCAAGGGUUCAAGAGGCACCUCUGGAAAUUUAGGGAUUCCUGGGACACACUUUCAAAAUAUGUCUCUUGUCCACAAACAGUAUUUUUAUAAAUACUCAAGUAGGAGCUUCUAGGAGGAGUGUGUGCAGUAUUACUGGACUAUAAUGGAAAUAGUUUUAGACUUGAAGCCUAUUGAGUUAGGCUGACUUAUAUUUCCAAUGCCGGGCAUCGCCCUUGACACGGCCCUGUAACAUACCCUAAACAUUCUAUUCCUUUCAGUGUGCUAGUGCUUGAAACUAAGUUCUUUAUAUAUAACCUGAAAAAAAAAAAAUGACUGGAAAAAAAAGGGAAAAUAGAAUGAUUGAAGGUGUGGGUUGAAAACGUUAUUUACCUUCUCUCCAUCUCCUUCAAAACUCUGUAAUUAUCCCUUUCAUCUAAAACCAUUUUUUAUAAAGCUUAUUUGAGGCAACAUAAACUUAAUUAUAUUGAAUAGAUUUCAUCACAAAAGUCACAAAACCCUCCCUGCAUUUUAAUAAAUUAUUUUGUCCUGCAAUAUAGGUAUCUCUUUUAAAAUCUGUUUCAGAAUCAGUGUACUAGGACUGCGCCUUCGACAAAACAGAUAAAGACAUUCUAUCAAAUGAAGUAAUAUCUAGCAGAUGUUAAUUUCAAGUCGCAUAAUCAAUUGCAGAAUAAACGAAAUUUUACCCUUCUAUAACUUAAUUUUUAUCUUAAGCCCAAAUUCUACCAUAUGGGGAACACUAAAAUCUCAGCCAACUUAAGCCAAUUCACUCUAUCUAGGGGUUCUUCCAACCUGUUCCUAAGGUUGCAAAAAAUUUUCGCAUGGUGUUUCUUGGGCGAUGGCACCUGAUUCUCAUUCAUCAUCAGCCCACACUGGCCUACCACAAACACAUCAAUGCCUGGGCGCCUAACAACUCCUAUCCCAAACUUAAGGCCCUGAUACAAUGGCCUCUGUCAGGUUUAUGCCACUGUUGGGUAAAAAAGAAAACUUUCUGCUGUUCUCAUAACACCUUUCAUACCUAUUCCCAAUGGCCUAGAUACUCUACACAGCUGUCUCAUCUCUACAGCAAAUCUUGCUGCUUUCCUAGAUUCCAUCCCAAAGUAAUUGCUUUCUGCUCUCAGAACUCCAAGCCCUGGAGCACAAGACUCUUUCCUAGAAUCACCUGGGAUUUACAAUUCUGCAUUCCACUAAUGAAUUCCUUUUCUUCAUAGUGUGAAUAAGGAGCACCUAUUCUGAGUGGGGCUAAUGAGUGUGGAUGGACUGACUCUGUAGAACAUUUUAUAUCAUAUAGAAUGUAUAUUUUACACACUUUAUGUCAAGAUAAAAGAAAACGAAGCAGCAAACAACUUUUUUGGUCAAACCCACAAGCUCCAUUAAAUUUUCAAAAAUCAACUUGCAAAGUGGCAGAGUACUACAUUUUGAAAGCUGUAGUUGCCUAAGUAAAGGACAGCCCAUGGUUCAACGUAGUAAUUGUGUGUAUGGGAGCAUGUACUUCAAAAGGUCCUGUGUGAGUGAUAUGACAAAUAUCUGGAAAAAAAAGGAGGGGAAAGAAAACUUGUGAAUUAAACAAAUGAAAAACUACAUGUGUAAACUCAUCCCUUAGAAUAUUUUACUCAAGUUAUGAAAACUAAGUAUUACAGACUUAAACACAUAUAUUCUUUUAAUGAUAAACUCUAUUUUUCCCUAAAAUCUGGGAAAAAAUGAAAAGGUGGCACUCAGGCUUUAUUUACAAUGAAGGGAGAGCUCAUAAAUUUAUAACAUGACAAUUUCAGCAGAAGCCUAGUUGAACCAAUGGAGUAUAACUUGCCUUCACACAGGUUCCCUUAAAGAAUGUUAGUUUUGAACAUGAGAAAAACUAAGAAAAAAAUGGAAUAUGUAUUACUGUUGUAGGCAGAGGGUCAGGGUACAACAGGCUAAAGUAUUCAUAGUAGUCUAAUCCCUGUUUUUUUGUUUAGAGCUGGGUCUUUAAAAAACUUAAGAAAUUAAAGCAAGAAAAUGGUUACGAUUUUUGGUGUGUUUUAAAAUGACAC